rnacentral:rRNA from 1 species
CUUUUGUUGCGAAAAGGGCUUGGAGAAUUGAGCAAGUCCCUGUGCUAGGCUGUUUUAUUAAAACCUCUCUUUUACACACUUGCCUAUACUAUGAUAAUACAAUAAUUUCUAUUCUAAGUAGAUUUCUAUUUUGAGAGUUAUUAAAGUGCUGUAUGUAAGUAUAGAAUUCGCCCGAUAAGCCCGUUCUCUAAGGUGGAAACACUGUAUUAAAACAGUAUACACCAAAACUCAAUGAACUAAAAGAUUUUAUUAAUUGAAGGAAAAGAAACCAACCGGGAUUGCGCUAGUAGUACAGAGCGAAAGUGCAUAAGCUUGAUUAAAUAUUUUUUGUUUACGGUUGAACUUAAGUGGAAUCCGGACCAGAGAAAGUUAUAGUCUUGUAGAUUGUAAACAAAAAAGUGCUGUAACCUUUGCCCUUGCCUAUGGCUUCGGACAAAGGUUAUUUAUGAGCAUGAACUAUUUAUUUUUUGGCAUAAUCCAGAAAAGUAAUAAAUGGGAAGAUCAAUCAAAUUAGUGGUUUAACACUGCUAGUAAUUGACGGAAACCACUCCGUUGGCUAAAUAUUCUAUGUAGAUCGAUAGUGAAUCAGUACUGUAAAGGAAUUUGGAAACAAGAAUGCCGUUGCUUCUCUGAAUACAAGUCCCAAAACAGGUUGCUUAUAAUGACUUUCAGUUUGGCAGUUAUAAUGUUGAAUAGAAAGGUUCCUUUUGAAUCAUGAGCUGAUGACUUUGUGUUAGUUUAAGGCAUACAUUAAUUGUUCCCUUUGGUUUAAUCAAAAAAAGUAAAAUUAAUGUGAGUAGCUUAAUUUAUUAAAAGUAAGCUUAUUAUGAAAGUAAAGUAUUCAUAGAAAACUAACACAAGACGCGAAACGAAGUGAGCUUAAGUAGGCCAGGGGGAAGGUUACCGGAAGGUAGUUGGACGCCCGAAGUGGUAUGCGUUGCAACGCGUUCAUAUGAGUUUAUUUAAGUGGCGAAAUACCAAUCGAACUUCGAAAUAUCUCGUUUUUUGCGAAACCUUUUUAGGAAGGGGGCCUGCAAAAUAAAUGCUAACUAGGUAGAGCGCUGUAAAACUGAUGGGAAGGAAACUUUUACUGAGGUGUUGCAAACCACAAAUUAGGGGCAUUUUAUCAGGUACUCAGUCAGUGCGGGACAAGCUGCAUUUGACAAGAAGGAAACAGCCUAGACUAUGAAUUAAGGCCCGAAAAUAGCGCUAAGUGAGAAAGUAAUUAACUUCACAAAAAUUAGUAGGACGUUUGAUUAGUAGCAUCUACCGUUUCAAGAAAGCGUAAUAGCUCACUACUAUAGUUUAGUUGUUGCGAAAAUUUAGCCGGACUAAGCGCUAUGCCGAAAUUAUAGCUAGCUGGCUGCUAUAAAAGCCAGUUAGAGUAGCAAAACGAACCAUGUUGACAAAGUUAUGUCGGUAAGACUUAAUGAAAAUAUUGGUUGUGAAUAUAUCAGCUAGAGUAACAUAUAAAUUGAGAUUUUAAAAUAAAUUAUAGCUUUUUAAUCUUGGUUUAACCCUUGUAUUUAUAUAAAUAUAAAAAGUUUAUUUAUUAAAAGAAUAGUAUCUCAAUGAUCGGAAAUCCUGGGUUUUCUACACAACUAUUAAAGAUGUAGUUAAAAAUACGGUCCCUAAGUAAUAUAAAGGUUACGAUGGGUACCUGCUAUGCCCAAUAAAAUCUUAUUUGUAGAUCUGUUGCAGGAAAAAAUAGCAGGCAAUUUAUACAACAAUAGAUUUGUUUUUGCGUGUACAAAUGAGUAAUACCGUACUAAAACUGACUCUGGUGGAUUAGUAGAUUUUACUAAGAUUUGGUUAUAAUCGUUCGUAAGGAACUCGGCAAAUUGCGCUGGUACUUUCGAAAACAGCGGUCUAAAAGUUAUGUUUUAGAUCUCAGAUAAGAGAACUGGGUGACAGUUUACUAAAAACUUAGCGUCCUGCCAAUUUGAAACAAGACGUAUAGGAUGUGACGUUUGCUAACGGCCACUAAUUUAAGUAAUCUGUUGUAAAAGGUAGAUAAACAAGAUGUGGUGACGAGCGGCCGUAACUAUAACGGUCAUAAAGUAGCGAAAUUCCUAGGCAUUUAAUUGGUGUCCUGCAUGAAUAACGUAACAACCUGGUUGCUGUCUCGCGAGCGAAAACCGUGAAAUAAGAAUAUCGGUUAAAAUACCGAUUAGGCUGUCUUAGACGAUAAGACCCUGUGAAGCUUUACUGUAACCUAGCAUUGCGAUCGGUUUUUUAUCUUACAGUUAGGCGGGAGGCAAUGCCAACAAUGGAAAACCGCUAGAUAAUAAAUUGGUCGCUUUUAUACAAGAGUACUUUUUAAUCUAUAAGAUAUUUAUAUAAGGGGCAUUAUAUAAAAAAUUUUAUGCAAAUAGAAUAAACUUUAUGUAAAUAAACCUCUAUAUAAAAUACUUUAAUUAACAAGGCUCGAAGACAGUGUUAGGUGGGCAGUUUACUUGGGGCGAGGUCUGGCUAAAAAGUAACGCCAGAGAGCAAAAGGUAUGCUCAGUAUUGUCGGAAACAAUAUGUAGAGCGUAAUAGUAUAAGCAUGCCUGAUUAUAAGACUGACAAGUCAAAUAAGGACGAAAGUCUGCUAUAGUGACCCUCACAUGCUAGGUGGAAAGGUGUGAGAUCAACGAAUCAAAGUUACUCCAGGGAUAACAGGGUAGUCCUGGCUUAUAGUUCUUAUAGACGCCAGGGUUCGCCACCUCGAUGUUGCCUCAGGUCAUCCUAGAGCUGCACAAGGUUCUAAGGGCGCAACUGUUCUUUGCAUAAUGACCUACGUGAGGUGAGUUUAAACCGCCGUAAGGCAGGUUUGGUUCUAUCUAGACAGCCAUAAUAUUUAACCAAGCACUAGAAUUCCACUGUACGAAAGGACCCGGGAUUCCGCGCCAAUGGUUUAGCAAUUGUUUUGAAAAAAGCACUGUUGCAACGCUAAGCGCGAAAUGUUAAUUGCUGAAAAACUAUCAAGCAAGAAACAAUUGUAAAGGUUAUAGUAGAUCGCAUUUGCGUAAAUAGGCGCGGGGUGUACACUUUGUAAGAAGCUCAGCUACCGCGUACUAAUUUUUU